AUCAAAACAAUUCCAUUUACAAUGACAUCAAAAAGAAUAAGAUACUUAGGAAUAACCUAACUAAGGAGGUAAAGGAUCUGUCUUU